UUUUGCUCCGCGACCAUAAGACGCUGGAAUUUUUGCUUGCUCGAUAUUCAAUUAAAUAUAGGUUGAACAUGAUUUGCAAAUCAUGGUAUUCUGUUUUUAUGUUUUACGCAAUGUCCCAACUGCAUUGGAAUUGUUUUUGUAAAAGUGGAACAAUUGAUCUAAUUGUCUCAUUAUUCCCAGUCUUUUGAUGUCUACAUUAAAAAGGGAAUUGUUCUCAGUGCUCUAACAAUUAAAUGAGGGGAGUGUCAGUAUGAUUAAGUCUGUUUUGCAUUACUUUUGUUUUUGCCCGAAAAAAAGUCCUUCCAUCAUAUGAGUGACUUUUUUCUCAUGAGAGUCAAAGGCAUACUGGAGUUUACAACAGCUGUCUUCGGGACACCCUGAACUGGUUGCCAGCUAAUUUCACAGCACACAUAAACAUACAACAAACAACCAUUUGCGGUCACAAUCACAGCAAGAGACAAUUUAGAGUGUUCAAUCAAACUGGAAUACCCAGAAAAAACCCACACAGGCAGAAGGGGAACAUGGAAAAUCCACACAGCUUGGAAUCCAAACCAAUGACCGCUGUACUGUGAGGCAGACAUGCUAAACCAGCGCACAACCGUGUCACCCCCCUGAAAAGGUCAAUUUAGUCAUUCAUACAAUAAAGAAGUAAAAACAAAAACUCAGAUAAUUACAACCAGGCACUGUGGAAUGUUCUGUGGUUUUGAGAUUAUAGGCUCUGUAAACCGAAGCUAAUGUUUACCAGCUACAAGAACAUGAAUGAUAGAAAUGACUUUUAACGCCUGAAAUAGAGGCUAUUUUCAAACUGUCCCUGAAGGCAACACUUCACAUGGAUAGAUGGAUAGAUAGAUAUUGGCCAACAACAGCAUGUAAUCGAGGACUCCACUGCACCAUCUCUCUGCCUGCAUUAAGAAUGUAAUCUGGGAGGGAAAAAAUCCACAUUUUUCAUAAAUGUGCUAGUAAUCUAUUUACGUGUUUUUUUUUUCUCUAACUCUAAUGGAAUACUGUUACCGUACAUUUUGUUUUGGAUCUUGACUAUGUAACACAGUUACAUUUAUUCCAUUGGUGCCCAAGCCUGGCUAUGGGUGAAUGAUAAUAUCAGUGGCAAUUGAAAUACGAGUCACCCCAUUUAAGAGUUUGUUGUUGCUCUGCUAUUUUAUUACAUUUUUUUGUUCUUUGACUUGCGAACACUGUAUGGUAGCAGUGAAGUCAACUCAUUUCACGACAAACAGCAGUUUGGCACAUAAUGAAUCGUUCUUAAAAAAAGAGAGAAAAAGCUGGAAAAAAAAGAAAGAAAGAUUAACAACACUAGUAAAUAACAUUCCAACAGGCCACGACAGAACAUCCACAACAGGUUCAGAUUACAACAAGUUAUCCAAAAACAGUUACGCUGCCUCAGAAAGCUGCUUUCACAGUCUUUUGAAUUCUCCUCGCAUGACUUGUCAUGGCAAUUCGAGGUCGCUCAUUUAGACCGAACUACCUGCAUAGUUAAAUACACAAAUUCCUUUGGCACUGGAUACAAACAGACUCUUGGGAUUUAAGGGCAUGUUGAUUCUGCUUAAUGCAAAAAAAAGACAACAACAACAAAAAAAGAUUAAUUAUGUUGAUAGCAGCCAAAUCAGAACUUUAAAAAAGCCAUGCCAAUCUGCGUAUGGAAAGAGGUUGGCAAUUUGCAGUAGCGUUGCCACAUCCGGUAACAAAACCACAUUCACAUGAUCAGAAAUAAAUUUUUAAAAAAUGUGUUUCUUGCAGGACGAGAAUUGCAUCUUUUUUUGGUUGUCUAGAUUUUUACUCGUUUUGGCAUAAAACAUGCAGUAUAUAGAAAUAAAACCAAAAGGGAAAAUGAGUUUAAAAAAAAAGAAGACAGUUUUCCAUAUCGGCUCCCUUGAACGUUAACAUUAUAUGUCCACAUGUCUCAAUGGAGCUACAGUAUUGCGUUAUACAAUGGAGGCCAAAUAGUGCAACUUCUGGUCAAAGGAAAAGUUUGCUGUUGAUUACCGGUACAUAAUGUACACAUUUUUUUUCCAGACGGUCAAACCUCGCUUCUCCCUUCUCCUUUCACUUAACCCAAUUUCAGCACUAGGGGCGUUUUCACUCUCCAUGCUGUCCUUUCUCUUCCUGUUUUCUGCGUUUCUGAGUGUGUGUGUAUGCGUUCAGAUGUGAAUUUCUCUUAUUCUUAUUUUUCACAUCGAUCCAUCCAUCCAUUUUCUCAUCCGCUUAUCCUCUCAAGGAUCACAGGCCAUCUUAAUCACACAAAAAAAAAAUAA